UUCAGAUAUUGUACAACGUUUUGGGGAGAUAAUUGGUAUCACAAUAUAUAACUGAUUUUUAACAGUUUUGCAAAUGGUAUUCGUGAGUCACUGCAAAUUGAACACGCUUAAAAAAUAAACAACACAAAAGCUGUGUAUAAGUUACAAACCCGUGAUGAAAAGUUUCAGUUUUUUAAUAUAAGGUCUGAAUUUAUAGCUUCCAAUACUUUCCAGAAUCGAAAAAUUAACAUUAUAAACGUUUGUUGAACAAGUUUUGUAAAAAUAUGUUUAACGCAAUAUAAAAACUUAGACUACCCUUUGUGUUAAAUUUUCCUAGCGUGCAGGUUGUUGUGUUUAUUUUGCAAAUGAAAAAAGAAAAAAAAAUCCAAUCUGCAAUCUGCCAAUUUUGAUCCCGUUUCUUCGGAUAAAAACUAGUCGCAAUUUAUUGUAAACGCUUGUUUAUUGCAUUUUUGUUCCGGGCAGUGCCAAUGAGAGUAAAACAUCAGUCGGAAGAUACUCUCAAAUCAGUGUUGUAUGCCGAAUGGAUCGGUUUGAUAGUGAACCACUGACGACGAAGGUGCUGAACGAGAAUGGUAACGGUUUCUCGGUGGGUAAACGAUAACGAGCAACAACAACCAUUCGGUCAGUGCCGAUGUUACAAGGAUCGAGUAUCCUUGUGAAAACAAAACGCUCCUCGCUCCUCGAAAAACAUUCCUCAAUGUUCCCUGCGCAGCUGUGUCCAGCACCUAUGGAAAUUUUACCGGAGAUGUUCAAUAGGAUGUAAAAAUUGCCGUCGUGUACGUGAUCGUAGAACCUAUCAUUAUGGACGACACUUUCAAGGAUCCACAGAGCAGCCGGUUGAAACGAUGCGGCCAUUUAAGAAGAAAAUCAGUGUUCUGCACUUAUCUUUGAUAGAAUAAAUUCAUAGCAUCUAAAAUCACUACGCUAUACAAUAAAAGAAAAAAAU